GGCGUGCAGUAUGACGGAAAGUCAGCGCAAGAAGCAGAAGAAGAAACAGUGCUGCCGAAAAGUGUAUUUUGGGCGCCACAGCAUCACUCACCAAUCUUCUCUGUGCCACAAUCCACGGACGGCAAGCUAACGCUGGCAGCUAGCCGCUUGCCGCUGCUAGAUAGACAAUGAAGAGAAAGUCCGCCACAACACCAAUUUCGUCUUAUUUUUCCAACAAGAAAGUAAGCAAUGAAAAAGAUCAAUCGACAGUGGAGGAACUGCAGACGCGUGUGUGCCCCUGAUAAUGAAAUGGAUGGCUACGGGGCAAAAUCAUUUUAACAAAUCUAUGGUUAUAGUAUGUUUAGAGUGAGUGAGGACAUUUAAUCGUAAUUGUAUAAAACCUUUAUGAUUCACCUCUAUCAGUAGUUGAGGCUAAGAAUAGUCUGAAUAGAAAAGUUCAUAGGCCAGUAUUUUAAAAUCAGAUUAAUUGUUUUUUCCUCUUGUAUCCUAUCUCAGAUAAGAGCAGAGGGACCGAAACAGCCACACCUGAAGGUUUUCCCCAGGACUCUUCAAGGAGAACGAAGAAGGAGCUUUAAUAAGGAGCGUUACACUUUAAACAAAUGGCUAGAAUAUUCUCAGUCCAAAGACUCUGCCUGCUGCUAUGCCUGCCGGCAUUUCAAUCUUCCCUCUUCAGGGGAUUCUGCGUUCACUUCGGUAGACGGGUUCAGUAACUGGAAGAAGGCAAUGUAUAAAGAUGGGGGAUUUGGAAGCCAUGCUAAAUCUGCAUCACGUGUUCAUGCUAUGUUAGCUUGGGCAGAAUAUGAGAAGGCAACUGCAAUCCAUAGCUCUCUAUCAGCGCCCUUAAAUGCAGACUAUCAAAAAAUAGUGAGGGUAGUAUAGUAGUUUGAUAUAGAGAAUAUAUCAAAAUUAUUGCCGAAACCCUGCUUCUCACAGCGACACAACAUAUCCCACAGCGAGGCCAUAAUCAAACAGAAGGUGAGAACAGAGGUAAUUUCCUGUCCAUAAUGGAACUUUUAGCCAAACACGGCAACCAGGUGAAAAGAAAAAUGAUAGGCCAACGAAAUGCGACCUACCUUGGCCAUAGCACACAGAACGAGAUAAUCAACUGUCUUGCAGAAAUGGUCCGCACCUCAAUAAUAAGUGAGGUUUCCCAAACUGACGCUUUCAGCAUUAUAGUUGAUGAAACAAAAGACAUUAGCAAGAAGGAACAGAUGUCUUUUGUAUUUAGGUACUAUUAUGAAGGAGAAGUACGUGAAAGUUUCCUAACAUUUGAGUGGCGGAGCGUCUUGAUGCUGCAGGACUUCCACAAAAAGUAAUACAGGUCCUGCAAAAGUAUGGCCUUGAUUACAAAAACCACCUUGUAGGACAAGCUUAUGAUGGUGCCUCUGUAAUGAGUGGUAAAAACACUGGUGUGCAGGCCCGCAUUAAAGUAGAGGCUCCAUUAGCAUUCUACGUUCACUGCAAUCCUCAUUGCUUGAAUUUAGUGUUAGUGGACACUGUGAAAAGCAUCCCCGAAGCCUACUGUUUCUUUUCUCUUCUGCAGAAGCUGUCUGUGAUUGUCUCAGGGUCGUGGGUGCACCAAAGGUGGCUAGAGGUACAGAGGGAGAUGUUUCCGAGGACAGACCCAAGAGAGUUGAUGUAGGUACAAGUCUUGCAAGACAGUGAUGGAGAGACUGCCAGCCAUCAUACAACUACUACAGAAAUAUCUGAAGACAUAAAUGGUGACAGAGCUGUGGAGGCAAGAGGUCUAUUAGCCCAAAUAGAUUUGAAGUUUGUUGGCCUUCUUGUAUCAUUCACCAAGAUCUUUGGUGAGGUAAAAUUUAUUUCACAUGUUCUACAAUCCCCACAACUCAAUUUGGGCACAGCUGUUACCCUUGCUGAUUCUCUUGUUGACACAUUGAGCAGUCUUAGAGAGGGAGUUCUCUUUGAUGAGAUUGGGAGUAAACUGUGACCCUUGCAGAGUAAUGCAACAUAGGUGCUGCACCUCCAGGCCGUCAGGUCACGCCAGCUCUAGCCUUGCAGGGUAUUACAUUUCCACUCCAAUUGUUCAAAAACAGGGCAAAACAGAAAAGGAGUCCUUUCGUAGAGGUUCAUUCAUUCCAGUUGUUGAUGUGCUUCUCUCUGAGGUAAAGAGGAUAUUUUCUAAAGAGAACUGUGUUAUAAUGGAAGGCAUACAGGCCUUGAAUCCAUGCAAGUCCCACAUUUUGUGAGAAAAACACAGUGUUUGCUUUUGCUUCACAGUACAACUGCAACUCUGAGGAUCUAGAAUAUGAGUUGCCUCAGCUUAAACAAAUCCUGGAAAGGAAGAAAACUAGUGGCUUGGAAAUCCCAAAGAGUUUUGAUGGAGCCCUCAGUCUUACUUGCAUUACCUGUGAGCACUGCGUCAUGUGAGCGCAGCUUUUCUGUGCUCAAGUUAAUCAAGACUCACUUGAGAAACACCAUGAGCAAUUAGAGAGAGUAGAAUGGUCCACCUCAAAGCUGACAGUUUAAUGACCCCAUAAACCCCCCUCUUUUUAAAAAAUAGCUGUUAAUGAUUCAAUCUGACAGUUUAAUGAAUCAUUUGACCUCGUAUUGACCUAUAUUUGAACUUUUAUCGAACUUUAAUUGACCCCGAAAUGGACGCGCACUGAACUCGCACUGAACCCUUAUUGACCUGCACCUGGUUCCGGCCUUUAAUCAUAAACUGCAGCUGUUGUUUGAUCUUGUUUUGAUCUUGUUUUAACUUUUAAUGUUAUAGUUGUUUGUCCCAUGACUUUAGUCUGCGAGAACCCCCCCCCUGCCCCUUUUUUCUCCUCUUUCCCCGGUUUUACUUUACACGUCGUAAAUCCAAUGUAUCUUCCUCCAUUAGUGCAUCAAGGUGUCCUAGUUUUCCUUGACCUUCUUGCCCUAACAGCCAAGCAUAUAUCUACCCUCCUUCCUCGAACUGCUCCGAAAAAACGUUAGUCUCUCUGUAGUCUUUGAGCCGCUUGAAACAUUUUUAUCAAUAUGGCGAAAAGAGUUGGUGUCGAUACUAACGUCGUCGGGGUGCGGAGGAGACUGGAGGCGGCGAGGCGAUCACUGUUGGCCACGAUGACCAGCAAGACCCCGGUCACGGCCUUCAAUGCAGGCUGGUCGGCGCCGAAGAAAAGAAUGAUCCAUCUGUGUCAGAUACCUAGGGCGUCUUCCACACAUACCCCAAACACACACACACACACCGCACCCACACACACCUAAAUGUGCUACACAAGGUGGUCAGGGGUCCCUAUCAUAAAUCGCGAAAACAAACGACAGCUAAGUGUUUUCCUAACUCAAAGCUUCUUAUCACCUCUACGUUUUGCUCUCGCACCCCUAAACACACACACACACACACACACACACACAGCACCCCCAGCGAUCUCCGUUGGCCACGAUGAUCAGCAAGACCCGUCUGCUAAAAAAUUCCAUACACAACGAACAACAAAUUGCUUGCAAAGCUUCUUAUCAGCUCUACGUUUUGUUCUCGUAAUGAAAGACGAGGGCAAUCAAACUCCUCAUGGGGUGAUCACAGACAGCAUGGAUUUACAGCCAAUCGCCCGCGCACACACACACACACACACACACACACAUCCCCCACAUGCACACACACAAAAAACUUCUCUUAAACGUGAAUGCUUCAUUCCCUUGGAAAUUUUAAAACUUUAUUAUCGAGUGUUUUUUUUAUUAUUAUUGUAACUGUUCCUUGUUGUUGUGUGAUUGUGUUGUAUUAUAAAUGUUUCUGGUUCUCAGGGAUUCUAAUCUAAAUGAGAAUGCCUGAUUAAAUAAAGAUAAAAUCUAAAAUCUAGAAAAUAAAAAUAAGAAAUAACACUUACACACUCACAUUAACACCAGGAGAUGUUAGCGUGCUUCAGUCUGCCCAUAUAAGGUUGCUUCCUGUCACCUCCUUCCUGAGCAGACAUCAACGGUUCUAACCCCACAUAGUUUUCCCCCAACAUGAAACUGCUUUAGUGCUCUGUAAGUGACACAUAGACCCUCUUCAGCCGUCACCACUGAAAAGAACACCUAAAAUGGCACUUUUUAACAAACCUAUCAUCACCACGACACUAGCAGGUUAGCAAGUGACCCACGUUCAUGUAAAUCUGGGAAGGGCCCGUAAUAAUAUAUUGGUAGUAGUUGCUUACUAGAACUGAAAACAUAUAUAAAUACAAACAGGCACUGAAUACUUUUUUUUCAAUUUCUAGUGUUGUAUUCCUUUCAAGUAAAAAAGAGAACUGAAUUAGGUGAUUCAGUUCUUAUAUAUUUUGUCAUGAUUACUAUUAGGAUAAACAGUAACAUGUGUAGUGGACGGGAGAUCAGAAAAUGGACAAAGGGAUGGAGCGGGGGUGGGACGAAUGCAGACCGGUCGCUGAAACACACCCACCUACUUCGAAGCUGCCCAGUUAGCUGAGGCAAGGGGGCUAAACUAACAAGUCAGUCCAAGUGCUACUCCUCGAUGCGAGUAGACUCGCGCUGUUAGCCUACUGAGGGUACAAGUCGUCCCAGCAAACAUUACAUGUGGUAAGUAACACUGUAGCUAUGCAACAACAUUUUGCAACAAUUGUUUAUCUGUUACUGAAAUUAUACUACAGCUUCUUAAAAAUGCAUCCAAGAUUUUUCUGUAUUUUUCUGUAAGUGUGGUAGUUUGCACAACUAUAUUUUAAUUUUAAUACAUUAAACCAAAUAAACUGUAACUCGACAGAAGUUAAAGGUGAUGCUUGUUGUUACUGGCAUAGAGUAAAUGUUUUAUUGACAAAGGCUUGUAGACUUAGUUAUUAUUGCUGUUUAUUUAAUUUUUCUUUCUUUUUUUAGCACAUAAGGGACAUUAUACCAAACAAGGAAUAAGAAAAUCUACAGUUCACUUCUAUAUGCAGACGUGGGUGUACAGCGACAAACCUUGGACAUGAGUCUAGUUUUGUGGCGGAGUGAAAAGAUGGUUUGUCCAUCAGAAAGUAGGGCAUGUAUAAAAAUGUUGUUAAGUCUAUUGUUAUUAUUAUUUAGGUUUAUGUAUGGUGAAUCAUAAGGUGAACUUUUAUGUUAUUCAAAUUAAUCAUAUGUAUUUGCUAUUUCCUAGAGGUAAAAUUCUUGUUUGCCUGGAAUCCUCUCAGAACAGAAGUUGGAACAAAUGGACAAAAUUGUUGAAGUAGAGAUUUUCUCCCAGUGAAAUGAAAAGCUGUAUUGUAAUCACAGAUUUUCUGGCUUUUCACCUUUUUUGUAUAUCUCUUAUCCAGGAAUUACAAAAACUGAAGCAUGCAUUUAAAAGUACAUUCAAGUCUUACUAGAUUAACUAAUGCUGUAUUGUAAUAACCGAUUUUCUGGUUUUUCCACCUUUUUUGUAGAUCUCUUAUCAAAGAGUUACAAAAACUGAAGCAUGCAAGUUAUUAAAUAUUACUAUUAAUUACAUUUCUCUUUCCUAAAGAAUAAACAGACAAACAGAAUG